rnacentral:rRNA from 1 species
GACGAACCGUCCUAACGUUAUUCGGAAUCACUGGGCUUAAAGGGCGCGUAGGCGGAUGAGCAAGUCCGGGGUGAAAUCUUUCGGCUUAACCGGAAAAGUGCUUUGGAUACUGCUUGUCUUGAGGGAGGUAGGGGCAUGUGGAACUUCUGGUGGAGCGGUGAAAUGCGUUGAUAUCAGAAGGAACGCCGGUGGCGAAAGCGACGUGCUGGCCCUCUUCUGACGCUGAGGCGCGAAAGCUAGGGGAGCAAACGGG